rnacentral:rRNA from 1 species
CUGGCGGCAGGCCUAAUACAUGCAAGUCGAGCGCGCCCUUCGGGGUGAGCGGCGGACGGGUGAGUAACGCGUGGGAAUAUGCCCUUCUCUAAGGAAUAGCCUCUGGAAACGGAGAGUAAUACCUUAUACGCCCUUCGGGGGAAAGAUUUAUCGGAGAAGGAUUAGCCCGCGUUAGAUUAGGUAGUUGGUGGGGUAAUGGCCUACCAAGCCUACGAUCUAUAGCUGGUUUGAGAGGAUGAUCAGCCACACUGGGACUGAGACACGGCCCAGACUCCUACGGGAGGCAGCAGUAGGGAAUCUUAGACAAUGGGGGAAACCCUGAUCUAGCCAUGCCGCGUGUGUGAUGAAGGCCCUAGGGUCGUAAAGCACUUUCGCCAGAGAUGAUAAUGACAGUAUCUGGUAAAGAAACCCCGGCUAACUCCGUGCCAGCAGCCGCGGUAAUACGGAGGGGGUUAGCGUUGUUCGGAAUUACUGGGCGUAAAGCGCACGUAGGCGGAUUAGUAAGUUAGAGGUGAAAUCCCAGGGCUCAACCCUGGAACUGCCUUUAAUACUGCUAGUCUUGAGUUCGAGAGAGGUAAGUGGAAUUCCGAGUGUAGAGGUGAAAUUCGUAGAUAUUCGGAGGAACACCAGUGGCGAAGGCGGCUUACUGGCUCGAUACUGACGCUGAGGUGCGAAAGUGUGGGGAGCAAACAGGAUUAGAUACCCUGGUAGUCCACACCGUAAACGAUGAAUGCCAGACGUCAGCAAGUAUACUUGUUGGUGUCACACCUAACGGAUUAAGCAUUCCGCCUGG